rnacentral:rRNA from 1 species
AUGACCAUUGCUCGAACAUAUACGCACUCGCAUGCUACAGUUGUCCGCACUACUUCCAUUAGUGACGCCAAUAACCCUGCUACUGUGUCCAUUCCACCAUGUCCAUUCGACAGUGGCUUAGCUUUCCGGUACCUUCAGGUUGUGAGUUCUCAUCAGAAUCAAGAGAUUCAACAUUAUCUGAAUAAGCUUGAAGAUUGGCUCCCUCAUCAUAAGCACCCAAAGAGUAAGCAGCUGCUCUGCUUUUACCCAUUUCCUGGACUACUCUUGCAGCGGCAUGAAGAACAGGGCGAGAAAAGCUACGGAAAGAGCUCUCCAGCCUGA